AGGUACCUACGGGACGCAGCAGUAGGGAAUCUUCCACAAUGGGCGAAAGCCUGAUGGAGCAACGCCGCGUGGGUGAAGAAGGUCUUCGGAUCGUAAAACCCUGUUGUUAGAGAAGAAAGUGCGUGAGAGUAACUGUUCACGUUUCGCCGGUAUCUAACCAGAAAGCCACGGCUAACUACGUGCCAGCAGCCGCGGUAAUACGUAGGUGGCAAGCGUUAUCCGGAUUUAUUGGGCGUAACGGGAACGCAGGCGGUCUUUUAAGUCUGAUUUGAAAGCCUUCGGCUUAACCGGAGUCGUGCAUUGGG
rnacentral:rRNA from 1 species